rnacentral:lncRNA from 1 species
AGUUUUUACAUUGCAACAGAAAGGUAUAGGCUGCUGAAAGCAAGGUUUCCAUGAAUGUCUUUAUGUCUGUCGUAAAUACAUUCAGAACUUCUCGUAAUCUGAAUCAAAAUAGACUGUAUCUGUUCGAAGGAAGAGAAUUUGUGAUUUUUGCAUAUAUCCACCAUCUACACAAUUGUGCCCUUAUAUUAAAAGAAUGGGGAAGAAGCAGAGGAAAAAAUACACAAUGCACAGUUUAGGGACAGGAGAGGCAAUAGCAGAAACAAAAAGAAUCACGUCUAUUUCAUUAAAAAGAAAUGUUCUUUUUUCCCAACUACCUUCCACAAUGAUCAUUUAGGAGAUAUUCUUUCAAAUCAUUAAUUUAAAUAUCUCAGAAAAAAAAAACCAGCAUUGCCUGGAAUUUGCUUAAUUUAUGUUAUAGAAUGGAAAUUAAACUAUAUCCUGAUAAAUUGCUGAUUAAUGAGUUGAACAAAGGAUUUUUAACACAUUCAUUAUCUGAUCAGUUUAGGGCCCAAUUGUUGAAGCUGCUAUGAAUGAAACUUGAAUUUUGUACAACAUGUGUCUUUUUCAGCAUAGAGAGAGAGAGAGCUACUAAAGUGGCAAUACUGAAUUUCAUUUUUCUGCUAACGCUUUUUCCCUCCCAGUGCCUGACCACACCCUGUACACCCUUGAAAGCACCACACCUUUGCUUCCGAAAUGCAGUGUUCUAUUAUGAAAUGGGUGAGUUGCUUAAACUUAAGAGCUUCCUCCUUGAAUAACUCAUAUAUAAUUAUAUCUUGUUCACCAUCAAUUUUGAAAGAUAAUCAAGACUUUUUUUCCUCCUUUACUUUAGUUUUUCCUUAUGAUGCAUGAGGUGACUUCAAAAAGUUUGUGUAAAAAUGGAAUUAAGAAUAAUUUAUUUUGGUGCAAAAUUUUUCAGAAUCCUUGCAGUUUUUUUUCAUAACACGUACUUCCUAAGAACCUUUUGAAGAUCUUCUAUAAUAUGAUUUCAAAGUUAUUUUGCACCAAGAAAAUCUUUUUAUUUUACUUUUCCACAUUUUCAAAAGAUUUACUUAUUUAUUUGAAAGGCAGAGUUACAGAGAGGGAGGGACACAGACACACACACACCCACACCCACACACACCCACACCAGAGAUCUUUCAUCUGCUGGUUCACUCUCCAAAUGGCCACAAGGGCUGGGGCUGUGCCAAGCUGAAGCCAGGUGGCAGAAACUCCAUGUGGAUCAGGAGAAGGGACCCAAGUAUCUGGUGCAUCUUCAGUUGCUUUCCUAAGUGCACUGGCAUGGAGUUGGAUCAGAAAUAAAGCAGCUGGGACUUGAACA